rnacentral:rRNA from 1 species
AUUGAACGCUGGCGGCAGGCCUAACACAUGCAAGUCGAGCGAGCGGCGGACGGGUGAGUAAUGUAUGGGGACUGCCCGAUAGAGGGGGAUAACUACUGGAAACGGUAGCUAAUACCGCAUACUAUCGGAUAACCCAUAUGGGAUUAGCUAGUAGGUGAGGUAAUGGCUCACCUAGGCGACGAUCCCUUGCUGGUCUGAGAGGAUGAUCAGCCACGCUGGGACUGAUACACGGCCCAGACUCCGAGGGAGGCCGCAGUGGGGAAUAUUGCACAAUGGGCGCAAGCCUGAUGCAGCCAUGCCGCGUGUAUGAUGAAGGCCUUCGGGUUGUAAAGGACUUUUGGCAGGGAAGCGGUAUCUGCAGAAUAAGCACCGGCUAACUACGUGCCAGCAGCCGCGGUAAUAC